UAUUUACGGAUAAAAAGGUGGCAUUUCAGGGGACACUCAGUCUCCUGUCUCUGAGGUGGAGAGUAAUUUCGUUGCCGAGCUCUUUCUCUCUGUACCACUUGAUGGCACACUUGUAUAGUACACUGCAGGCUGAAGGCAAGAGAAAUCCACAUGCAAAUCCCGUCCAAAGUUGUUCCACUUAAUUUGUUCAGCAUCAUGAAUGUACCUGUUUAAUUGAUUAAAGAAAUUUAACACUGUAGUAUUGAGUAGGAAUAAGCAGGGCAUACAAAAUAAUUACAUCAAGAAAGCCCUGUAUUUUGCAAUUUUAAUCCCAGAAGUUUGCCUGGAUAAUUCAUUAGUUUUUCAUUAUUUCAGUAAGUUUGGUAAGAAACUUGCCUCUGUCCUGCUGAGCCUUUUCUUGCAUGGGGGAAAAUUUUUCCUUGCCCAAUAUUUUAUCCUUCCUUCUAGAAGGUUUGUAGCAGAUCUGCUCAUUGCCUAUGUUCAUGGGUAGUUCAGGGUUUUCAGUUCAGAAGAAAUAAUGAAUUGCUAUUGAAACUGAACAGCUAUACCUUCUGUUUGGCUAAACUGUAGGUGGAAAUUAGUUUAUGUCCUUUGAGCAAUAAAACUAUGAUUCAACUUCUUAUCAAAGUAACAUUCUCCAGUGGUCUAUUUGAGUUUAUUAAUGCGUAUUAAAUGUAGCCACUUCUCUCUGCAUGAUUAUACAUACAUCAGUGAAUGCUGCAGAUGGCUACAGACCACAGGUAGAAACAACUUGCUGGUCUGUUGGAUUUUACGGCUUCAUGAAGAAAGCAUUGCAACAUUUAUCAGCAGAAUUUAUUACUUAUUAUUUAUGGGCAGACUCUUAAUGGAAAAAUGUAAAUGACCACAGCCUGAAGUUAAAAAAUUUCAGAGACUGGGGUGAAAUAUGUAGAGAGUGGCUGACUGUUAUAGAAACACUUUCUGUUCAAGGGCUGGGAUCCAGAUUCUGAAGGGGAGCCUCAAAGGGGAAACUGGGAGCACCUUGGUACACAUUAAUGAGUGCCAAGUGACCCUUGUAUUUACCAAAGCCUAAAUCCCACCACCACUUCUUGCAAAAACUUUAUUUGGUCCACAAUGCAGUAGCUAAGAUUCUUUCCUGGCCAUGACUUUAACUGUCUCUUACUUUGAUGCUUCAUCAGUUCUUUAAGGGCUAAAUUAGCAAGGGCAGACUUCUUGCCUUUGUUCUCUAAUUAUCCUUGUUUAACUUAGUGACUUUCUUCCCCUCCUCCCCCAGCACUCCUUCCCUACUCCUUCAAAUGCAUGGGUAAAAGAUGAGCUGGAUGUUUAAACCAGGGAGAGUUCAUGCUUUUUAUUUUUCCUGAAAAAACAGAGAGCAGAGUGGGAGCCUCAUAAAUAAGUGUCAUGGGUAGGUAGCACCUGGGAGGUUGUGAAGCGUACACUGUCCUGACUUCCUCCAUUACCCACUGAAUUGCAUUGGCAGUGAUAAUUGCAGCUUCAGGAAAAAUAACUGCUAAACAAUGAUAGCAGUAAAGCCCUACAGCCUUUCUCAAUUAAAUUAAGUGGAAAUUUAGUCCUUGAGUACUACUUCUGAGAUGGGCUGAGCAGAAUAAGAGCAAGCACCUGGUGGGUUGCAGGGUAGUGUAGGGCAGGAGAAACACUGCUGGCAUUGCUCUGUGACCACUGUUGCCAUGCCCCAUCUGAGAAGUCAGUGUCCACCUCUGCCCUAGAGCUAAUGUUGGCAUGAGAAUAAAAACAACAGAUUGCAGGCUAAAUCUACUCCAACAGAGGCCAUGUAAGCUGGUGAAUUUAGGGGAAGGCCAGUGCCACCUCUAUAGCCAUCAUUUCUCUUCUGGUUUUGCAUCAGCAGUUUGUGCUUCUACCAUUAUUCAUUUGUCUCAGCUGCAACCUCUUGAUCUUUGAAGGCUAUUUUGGUAUUGUUAGAAUGUCCUUUCUACUUCAUUUAUUUCUAUCCUUUCUGCUUAUCCUGGCACUUUUACUUUUUAUCAACACCAUCUGCAAACAUCUCACAUUUGCUAGUGGGUCUUACAAACUUUAGUCUUACAAAUUAGGACUUUUUGUCUCUGUACAUUCCUGUGUGAGGAGGUACUGGAGUAAUUUUUGGUAGCAAAGGAAAUAUCUUUACAGUCAUUUGAUGUAAACUACCCAAAAUAAAAGAAUGAAGCAAAUGAA
rnacentral:lncRNA from 1 species